rnacentral:ncRNA from 1 species
GAGAGCACAGUACGAUGAAAGUUGUAAACUGUGUUCGGGGGGGGGGGGGGGGGGGGGGUUAUUGUCUAUCGUUGGCCUCUAUGGUAGAAUCAGUCGGGGGACCUGAGAGGCGGUGGUUUACCCUGC